rnacentral:rRNA from 1 species
GAUGAACGCUGGCGGCGUGCCUAAUACAUGCAAGUCGAGCGAACAGACGAGGAGCUUGCUCCUCUGACGUUAGCGGCGGACGGGUGAGUAACACGUGGAUAACCUACCUAUAAGACUGGGAUAACUUCGGGAAACCGGAGCUAAUACCGGAUAAUAUAUUGAACCGCAUGGUUCAAUAGUGAAAGACGGUUUUGCUGUCACUUAUAGAUGGAUCCGCGCCGCAUUAGCUAGUUGGUAAGGUAACGGCUUACCAAGGCGACGAUGCGUAGCCGACCUGAGAGGGGGAUCGGCCACACGGGAACUGAGACCCGGUCCAGACUCCUAGGGGAGGCAGCAGUAGGGAAUCUUCCGCAAUGGGCGAAAGCCUGACGGAGCAACGCCGCGUGAGUGAUGAAGGUCUUCGGAUCGUAAAACUCUGUUAUUAGGGAAAAAAAAAUGUGUAAGUAACUAUGCACGUCUUGACGGUACCUAAUAAAAAAGCCCCGGCUAACUACGG